rnacentral:rRNA from 1 species
UACGUAGGUGGCAAGCGUUGUCCGGAAUUAUUGGGCGUAAAGCGCGCGCAGGCGGUCCUUUAAGUCUGAUGUGAAAGCCCACGGCUCAACCGUGGAGGGUCAUUGGAAACUGGGGGACUUGAGUGCAGAAGAGGGAAGUGGAAUUCCAUGUGUAGCGGUGAAAUGCGUAGAGAUAUGGAGGAACACCAGUGGCGAAGGCGGCUUCCUGGUCUGUAACUGACACUGAGGCGCGAAAGCGUGGGGAGCAAACAGGAUUAGAUACCCGUGUA